UACGAAGGGUGCAAGCGUUACUCGGAAUUACUGGGCGUAAAGCGUGCGUAGGCGGUUUGUUAAGUCCGCUGUGAAAGCCCUGGGCUCAACCUGGGAAUUGCAGUGGAUACUGGCAAGCUAGAGUGCGGUAGAGGAUGGUGGAAUUCCCGGUGUAGCGGUGAAAUGCGUAGAGAUCGGGAGGAACACCCGUGGCGAAGGCGGCUACCUGGACCGGUUCUGACGCUGAGGCGCGAAAGCGUGGGUAGCAAACAGG
rnacentral:rRNA from 1 species